UUCGCCCAUCUCUCUACCAUUAAGACCUACCGCCGCAUGCCGCCUCCUUCAUCCUCCUCUUCGCUUCUUGCCUCCCCAUCGCUGCACGCCUCCCCCUUCAUCCUCCACCACCGAUGCACACCCUCAAUAUCCUCCUCCGUUAAACCUCCUCUCCCAUCCUGUUCCCUCUCUUUUUCCUCCGCAUUUGGGAACGACCCCGUAGCC
rnacentral:lncRNA from 1 species